GUGGCGUUGGCUUGAAACCAGUGGAAGAGGGUUCGAUUCCUUCCUUUCUUA
rnacentral:tRNA from 1 species